rnacentral:rRNA from 1 species
UACGUAGGGGGGCUAGCGUUGUCCGGAUUUAUUGGGCGUAAAGAGCUCGUAGGCGGCUUGGCAAGUCGGGUGUGAAACCUCCAGGCUCAACCUGGAGACGCCACUCGAUACUGCUAUGGCUAGAGUCCGGUAGGGGACCACGAAUUCCUGGUGUAGCGGUGAAAUGCGCAGAUAUCAGGAGGAACACCGGAGUCGGAAGGCGGAUGUCUGGGCCGGCACUGACGCUGAGGAGCGAAAGCGUGGGGAGCAACAGG